GUGAGGAAUAUUCCGCAAUGGGGGAAACCCUGACGGAGCAAUGCCGCGUGCAGGAUGAAGGCCCUCGGGUCAUAAACUGCUUUUAUAUGAGAAGAAUAUGACGGUAACAUAUGAAUAAGGGACGGCUAACUACGUGCCAGCAGCCGCGGUCAUACGUAGGUCCCAAGCGUUAUCCGGAGUGACUGGGCGUAAAGAGUUGCGUAGGCGGCUCGUUAAGCGUGAAAUGAAAUUUAUCGGCUCAACCGGUAAACUAUUUCGCGAACUGACGGGCUCGAGAGUAUGAGAGGUUACUGGAAUUUCUAGUGUAGCAGUGAAAUGCGUAGAUAUUAGAAAGAACACCAACGGCGUAGGCAGGUAACUGGCAUACAUCUGACGCUGAGGCACGAAAGCGUGGGGAGCGAACCGGAUUAGAAACCCCGGUAGUCC
rnacentral:rRNA from 1 species